UACGGAGGGGGCUAGCGUUAUUCGGAAUUACUGGGCGUAAAGCGCACGUAGGCGGAUUGGAAAGUCAGAUGUGAAAUCCCAGAGCUCAACCUUGGCACUGCCUUUGAAACUCUCAGUCUUGAGGUCGAGAGAGGUGAGUGGAAUUCCGAGUGUAGAGGUGAAAUGCGUAGAUAUUCGGAGGAACACCAGUGGCGAAGGCGACUCGCUGGACAAGUAUUGACGCUGAGGUGCGAAAGCGUGGGGAGCAAACAGG
rnacentral:rRNA from 1 species